rnacentral:lncRNA from 1 species
CAAUUAGCUUUUCGACUUCAUAACAUGUUCUCGUAUGAAUAAGAAAUAAAUUUUAAAUCAUCAUUCGCUUGGUCCUGUCCAGAUUUAAGAGUUGAGUUCCACCACAACAAGAUAUCAGCAAUAUAUUGUAAUAAUAAGAUUAAACGACUCUUCAAGCCUAGAAUUCAGAAAUCCAACAAGCCCCUAAAUUCAACAUGAGUUGUGUGCUUUGCAGACAUUUCUUAAAAAGCAACCCUGCUCCGUGCUUAUAGAGAAAAACGCAGCAGCGCUGCCCAGAUAGACAAGACGCAUUGCGCUGCCUUGAGAGAAAAGACGCGCUGCGCUGAUAGACCAGAUGCGCUGCAUUCUUGAUGACCACUGCCUGUGCUGACCUCUUGAUGCUCCAAUUCUUCUCGAAGACUGCCGCCUGCGCUGACCUCUUGAUGCCGCCUGCGCUGACCUCUUGAUGCUGCCUGCGCUGACCUCUUGAUGCUUCAAUUCUGCUCGAAGACCGCCGUCUGCGCUGACCUCUUGACGCCACCUGCGCUGACCUCUUGAUGCUUCAAUUCCUCUCGAAGAUCGCCGUCUGCGCUGACCUCUUGAUGCCACCUGCGCUGACCUCUUGAUGCUUCAAUUCCUCUCGAAGAUCGCCGUCUGCGCUGACCUCCAAGGCCCUCGCCUGCGCUGCCCUCUUCAGCGUUGAGCUAAGAUCAAAGCCAAAUCAUAGCCAUCAGUCCAAACUUUGAGCCAACACCACAGCUAUAUCAAGCCCGAAACCAGAAGAAAACCAUAGCAACAUCAAGCUCAUAAACUCAGG